rnacentral:rRNA from 1 species
CGUGCUUAACACAUGCAAGUCGAACGGUGAAAGCGGGAGCUUGCUCCUGCUGGAUCAGUGGCGGACGGGUGAGUAACACGUGGGCAACCUGCCUGUAAGACUGGGAUAACACCGGGAAACCGGUGCUAAUACCGGAUGAUCCUUUUCCUCUCAUGAGGAAAAGCUGAAAGUCGGUUUCGGCUGACACUUACAGAUGGGCCCGCGGCGCAUUAGCUAGUUGGUGAGGUAACGGCUCACCAAGGCGACGAUGCGUAGCCGACCUGAGAGGGUGAUCGGCCACACUGGGACUGAGACACGGCCCAGACUCCUACGGGAGGCAGCAGUAGGGAAUCUUCCACAAUGGACGAAAGUCUGAUGGAGCAACGCCGCGUGAGCGAUGAAGGCCUUCGGGUCGUAAAGCUCUGUUGUUAGGGAAGAACAAGUACCGGAGUAACUGCCGGUACCUUGACGGUACCUAACCAGAAAGCCACGGCUAACUACGUGCCAGCCGCCGCGGUAAGAC